AUACGGAGGGUGCAAGCGUUAUUCGGAAUCACUGGGCGUAAAGGACGCGCAGGCGGGUUGGCAAGUCAGAUGUGAAAUCCUACAGCUUAACUGUAGAACUGCAUUUGAAACUGCUAACCUAGAGUAUGGGAGGGGGAGAUGGAAUUAGUGGUGUAGGGGUAAAAUCCGUAGAUAUCACUAGGAAUACCGAAAGCGAAGGCGAUCUCCUGGAACACUACUGACGCUGAGGCGCGAAAGCGUGGGGAGCAAACGGGAUUAGAAACCCUAGUAGUCC
rnacentral:rRNA from 1 species